UAGUGUGGGUGUCGAAGAUGCUCUCAAGGCAUUUGGGGGUGGGGGGUGGGGAGAGUAGUAAAAUUGUUUUUGCAAUCCUCUUCGUUAUUUACUAUGUUAUUUUUGAUUAAAUGACAUAAUUAUCCCUCAAAAUAUAAGAAAUAUGUAAUAGCAUGGAAACUGAGAAGUGGCAAUUCUAGCAAUUGGCAAAUAUAUUAAGGAGUUUUAUAAUAAUUUUGCAUUCUAAAGACAAACAGUGAAGUGUAUUUGAUAAAAAAUGAAUUGGAGUGCACAAAAUCAUCACCGUGUUUAUAACCUUGGUUUACUUAUUUUAGUUUUUGUUUAAAUUUUUAUUUUUUCAAUUUGUCUUAAUUAGAGGAAUAGAAAAUUUACCCGCCCCAAACUAGUAAAGACGAAAUUAAAUAACGGAUUAAUUUUGUCUUCGGUUUUUUUCCUGAUUCCUCUAAUUAAAACUAAUUAAAACGAACUAUCUACAAUCAAAAAAUGUUUACUAAAAAAACAAAUAAUAAAAAAAUGUUAUUUCAAAUUAGGCCGAAGUGCAUGAUAGAAGGCAAAGGUGGGGAUGGUUUGGUAAUAAACCAUACUUUUGGGGUUUGCUUACUUGGAUUAGUUGUUUCUUAAAUCUGGAGUAACGUUGGACCGUGGGAGUCUUCUAUCUCUAUGCCUGAAUCCUGAAUCUUUUUUCUCCCAUCUAAACAAACAAUUCCUUUUCUUAGGGUACUAUAAUGUUAAUAUUAAGUAGUUUUUCUUUAAGCAUUUAUUUAUCAAAUGUAAAAUAGACAAUUUGGGGGGUAAAGAAACCAUGGCCAUGCGGGUGAUAAACAAAUCAAGCUCGAGACUUGAGCUUGGCUCGUGUGUUCAGUUCGUUAAAAACUUGUUAAAUUUUUAAAUCAAAUUUGAACAGCCUACUACUCUACUAGAGAAGCCGAUAAUGUUUAAAAAAUUUAAGUUAUUCAAUUCACUUGAUAAACAAUCUAAGCUCAAACCUACUGUUAAAACUCUUUAGGUUUCAAAUCAAGCUUGAAAAGUUAAUAUUCGGAUCGUUUGGUUUAGUUUAUCAUCCCUACCUUGACCUAAUUUAUGAAAAAUGGUACUUAUCUCUCCCUGAUAGAUGUUGUCAAUAGACUCCAUUAACAAAAAUCAUAUAGCUUCUCUAAAGUUCAAUAUUUUAUCUUUCUAAAGUUUGUUCGGUAUGGGCUUGUUUCAAAUUUACAGUUAUGAUUCGGAUCAUUCAUCUUGAAGAAAAUAUUGAGAAGAUUCCGUGGGCAAAAAUUUGGAUUGAUCGGAUAUCAAUAACUACUUGAAUGAUCAAUUUUAUCUGAGCCUCUGAAGCCCAACUUAACCUGCCAUUUCAGUCCUAACCCCAAGCUAUAUAGACAAAAUUCUCCAGCCAUUACAAUUGCAGAUUAAACUGCCACUUAUCACCACCUGCUUGUUACCAUUUCAGUCCCAACCCUAUGGCAAUCGCUAGAAGCUAUAGCGAACCAUGAAAAGAAGUUACCUGUGUUUGCCUUGGCCACCGAUAAUGGGUUGUGUACCGUAGGAAAUUGGUUUUAGCUCUUGAAUUUGUGAUGUAUAAUAUGUUGAAAUACUUGAGACCAGUUCAAGUUAUUUAGGCCCUCCUCUAUUAAUGAAGUUGACCCGAGGUCGGGGUGGGAUUCGGUUGGGAAGGUGUGAUUGCCUUAGUCUAGACUCUAGAGAUGAGAAGUUGGAGAGGGGGUGUCUUUGAUUCUUAGCCUGGAGAGAGGUUGAGAGGGCAGUGGUAGAGUGAGAUGGCAAUGAUUGUCGAAGCAUUGUAAAACUAAAGUGGCGAUGACUAGUUCUUAAUAUUGGGAUAAUAGUUGUCAUGAUAGUGAGAUUUGAUUGUGAUGUGAUAGCAGGUACGAUGGUUCAAUGCUUAUAACUUGGAGUUGAUUGAGGAGAAUGCUUCAGAUUCGCCACCACCUCGAUUGCAGCUGAAUUGGGCAGCUUGAGGACGAAGAUGGUGGACAGUGGUGGGGUUGGGAGGGGAUAGUCAAUUGGGAGGGGGGAGGGGGGCUCACUGGCUCGUGUGAGGUGGACUCUAGUGGGUUUAUGUGGAGGAGAUUGGUGGGGUUGGUUUUGUAAUGUAUUUGUCUGGAUGAAUGCAUAAUGGGCGAAGUUGGCAUUUCAAGAAAUAUGAGCAAAUUGCAUUACCUGUCUUUGUCGUUGUUGGUUAACAUAUGUUCAUGGUGGGUUAAUUUGAAACCUACAACUAAAAUAAGAGGGAGAUGAGUGUCAUUUUAAAAACUAUAUGGAAGACCUAUGUAAUAAUUGGAAAUCACAGGGAGAUGAAUGUAAUCUUAUGAUUCUACCGCGAUAAUUGCAAGGUCAUUUUACAGUAUAGUUAACGGCGUUGCUACAUUUUCAGAAUUCAAAAUGAAUUAAUCGGUUUCUCUAUAGUUAAACACCUAAUAUUGAUGGAAAAAAUGAGUUUUUCAAUUAGUUAAAAAAAUUAAACGUUGUAUCCACUUCCAAUAUAGUAAGGUCUGAAUGCCCCAGUUUUAUGUUUCCUAAAUUAAGUGCAAUCAAGAAGUUAGUGUACUCUAUUAUUUUAAUCACGGCCCACCCAUGUCUUUCAACCAAUCAAGAAGUUAGUGUACCGGGUGAGAGAACAUAAUUGCACUCGAGUGCGUCACACCAAAAGAAAGUAACAGGAGAAGACAUUCACUGCCUUGAAUUGGAAAAGCAGCUCAUCAUGCACAAAACUACCAUGGCUAAAAACCAAAAUGACAAGACAGGCUUUCUUCUGCUUUACCGGCGGAGGAAAGAUAAAACGGAAAACCCAGGCAGCCAAUAUUGCUCCGACGAAGGGACAAAUCCAGUAAACGUAAAACUGCUCCCAUGUGUUGUGCCUAUUGCUUAGAUAUGCCCACCCAAAGGCCAGCAGAAACAAUCAAACACAGGUGAUGCAUCUAAAUAGAACAUUAAACAGUCAAAUGCCGAUAGUUCUAAAAGUUAUCGUUGACACAAACUUAGAGCUCGAGAAAGAGAGAGACAUUUAUAUUGGAGGCGGGAAGAAAAUCUCGCAAAAUCAACCUACUAGAAUGAGAGUUGUACUGUAUGCAGAACAAGAAAUGGUACAAACCAAGAAUUUGCUGCUUUUCAAAAGAUGGUGAUGGCAAGGUAAAACAAAUGAACAGUAGAAGAGUAUAGAGCUCUAUAAGUAAAUACUAAUAUCUUAAUGUUGCUAAAACAUAUUGCAAAAAGAAAACAAAAGGCUUUGCAAAGCUUCCACCACCACCACCACCCCAAAAAAAAGAAAAGAAAAGAAAAAUAGAAGGCAACUGGGGAUGUUGGAGAUGAUGAUCUUGACUCUUGAGAAAAGAGGAAAAUGAUACAGAGGUGUCAUCUCAAGCAAUGCUGGCAGUGGUGAGAUGUUACUACUGGUGGGCAUGGAAUCUGGUAUAAUGUCGGUCGAGGAGGUAGGCACAGAGAUGGAUUGGGGAGCAGGCUAGGAGCGAACGCCACCCUAAAAUUUAUUAGAAACCCUAGUUUUAUAUUAGCAUUAGCUGCUAAUAUUUUCGAUAUUAUAGAGGUUCACCACCCCAAGGUUUAAAUCAAUAUUGUAUUCCUUGGAGAGUUUACAAUUUCUGUGUUUUCCAUGCACAUUCACCUCCCAAGGUUAAAAUCUUAAGUCCGUCCCUAGGUAGGCAGGCAGGAAGGAAGCGUUACAACCUAUAAGUGAUGAACCCGUAAAUUUAUCCCAUAUAUUAGCGGAACACUUAACAUAAUUAUCACUUGGAACAUUUGGCAUCAAUUAUAGAGGUCAAUUCAGUGGCGGAAAUAGUAGUGGCUCGUGCUGUGGUGAAGCGGAAUUAACGUGGUCAGGGGGUUUGAACAAGGCAUACUGGAUUUGUCUGAAACAGCUAACCUGCUUGUGCCCCGACCAGGGCUCUGAGGGAGAGAUACUGGAUUUACAUCCAAUGACCACAUAGCGCGCCACCUGAGCACAACAGAAAGGGGCUUUCUACAUUUUUACCAGCUACUCUAUGAACAUCCUUGAUCCAGUGGGACUUUAUGAAUUGAACCGGUGAAACCCCAAUCGCUGAUGCUGUUACCGAGGUCAUUGCCCCCAGUGCCGAGGCGCAGAACACCCACAUGAACGUUAAUACGCAGUCGCCGAUCGUUGCUUUUAUCACUCCAAUCUCCUCUCUCUCUCUCUUUCUCUCUCUCUCCUCAGUUGUUGGAUCAGCAGGGUUGCGAUAUUCUGUUCUAUUUAAGAGGUGAACUUAACCUACCAAAACUCUGAUGGUAGGCCAAGGAACUCAGUCUCGGUUUGGUAAUAUUUAAAAUUUAAGUUUUUUUAAGUUUGUUAUUAAAAAAGUCAAGAUUUUUUAAUUUUUUUAAUUUUAUUUUAAUUACAAAUAAACAAAGAAAUAAAAAGCAAAAAGUAAAAAAAAAAACUCUAACUGAUUUUUUUACUCAUAAACUUCAAAAAAAAUAGUCAAAAAACUAGUACCAAACAAAACCUCAUAACCGGAUGAGAUUUGGGUGGGAACAAGUGUGGGACCCACGUUUUAGACUUGCAUUUUUUUAGGAUUAAUCAUAAAUUUAAGUUACAAAAUGUAGAAUUUGGAAAACACCACCUUAAUACAUUGUCUUAAACUUCAAUAUACGCGAAUUUAUGUAAGUAUACGCGAAUUUUUUGAAGUAAUUAUUUUGUCUCAUAUUACCUAAAAAGGCAAAAAAGUGAGUUUUUUAUUUAUAUUUUUUUUCUUACUCCAAACGGGUUUUCGGUAACAAAAGGUAUAUCUUUGGUGAGAGGACAGUAUUAAACUUCAAUAUUUCUAACUAGUGAAAGUAAUUUUACAUUGUUUUUACUUUCUUAACAUAUGAGCUUUUUUGUCUUCUUGUAAGUUUAUAUUUUUUUACAUAUUUGGAACUGGUGGGAAAAAAAGAAUGUAGCAUUUCCCCAUUCUCUAUGUACUUCGUGCUCUCUUUUGAAUUUUGUUCUUAUUUUGUCAAAAAUUGAUUAGCAAGGGUAUAUUUGGUAACGUUUUUAAUUUUUAAUUUUUUGUGUUUGUUUUAUGUUUGUUUAAUUUUGUUUAUUUUUUUAUAAAAUAGAAACUAAAAAAAUAUUUAUUUUCAUCUUUAUAAAACUAUUUAAAAACAAAAAUAUGGUGACAGUGGUAGUGGAGACGAAAAUCGUGGAGUAUGUAGUGGCGGCAAUGGAGGAGGUGGUGACGACGGGUGGUGAAGGUGGUGGCGGCAAGGGGGGAGGCGGCGCAGUGGCGGCGGCUCUAAUUUUGUAAACAAAACAAAAACUCUUUUUCAUUAUUUUCACUAUUUUACAAUUAUAAAUAGUAACACAAAUAAAUUUUUGUUUACAUUUAUCUAAAAAAAUAAAAAUUAAACGAUGAACAAACAACAUCAUCUGGCCAAAGAAAGACAUAUCUGCAUGGCCAGAAAUCAAUAGGAUUGAGAGUUUUCUCUCUUUUUUGUUUACCCUUUUAGCCGGGCAUUAAAGUAGAAACAACUGCAAGAUCUCCUAUACUACAGCUGCUAAAAAAUAAACUAUGAAUAUGUAAAUCAAUUUAAAAACACCAAUACAAAAUUGCCGUAUAGCAACCCUUUCGUCGAAUAAUGUUUGGUUGUUUCGUAGUGCCGUCAGUUUCAAGGUUGAGGCAAGGGAGGCGAAUGACUCGUCGUCGGAGGGGACGGGAAAUUCUCCGACAUAGCAUCCCAGGAAAGCUUAUCAUCCUUCUGAGGCCUCCGCUCCAAGAAGGUUGGUUCACCGGCGUUAAUAAUCAUUUCACCACUACAGCAUGUUAAGAAGGCACAAUCUCUGACAAGGCGGUCUUAGGCUGCGUGGGCUGAGGCAUAAUAGGGCGACAUGAAUUGCUCGCAAACGUCCCUUCUCGACAUAACCAUCGUCUACAUCUGGGAUCGACCAGAUCAAUCAAGCUUUGACCUCUCAUGUAGCUUCCAUGCCUAAUAACAAAAACAAGAAAUAAUUAUCUAUACCGGCCAAUAUCGGAUUGUAUCAGACGAUAUAAUGGGAAAUAUGUUGGAUUGGCUUCAAACUCUCCAAUUUGGAUUGGUUUCAAACUUUUGUGUUUGGAUUGGCUUCAACUUAUUUUUGGAUUGGAAUUCAAAGUCCUUGUGGGAUUUGAAUUCUAUCACUUUGCCUAUAAAAAGGACUACAAGUCCCCGAUAGAGGGCUAUGAGAUUAGAAGCGUAGUAUAAAACUUUGAUUAAUUUUCUUCUCUCUUUUCUGUUUGAGAUGCGGAACGAGAGUUGUAUGUUUCUCCUAAUAGAACUCCUGCACCCAAGGACGUAGCACUCUUGCCGCAUCGUAAUCAUGGUGCGUGUGCGUGCGUUAUCUGUGAUUGUGGUGUGACUUGGUGUGGAUCGAUUUACGGCACAACAAAAUUCGGUAUUUUAGAGGGCCAAAAUCCAACUCUUAACGGUAUCAGCCGAUUUUAAAAGUUUGGUAAAGAUCACCAAAAAUUUUGCUCAAAGAUCGACUAAUAAUAAAUAAAGUUGUAACUUGUAAGAACUAUUGAAAAGGUAAUGAGCCUUACAUAUCUGGGAGGUAUUUGCAAUUUCUGAUGGCAAAGCAAGUCGGUGUUUUUCCGACAUCCAAUAAAUCUCUAGCACCAGGACCCAAAGCUAUAUAAGUCCGCCUUUUUUCAGACAACUCUCCCCUAAUUGCAUAUUCAGGUGCAGUAUAACCUCUGGAAAAAAGAGCAAAUAGUAUAAGGGAAUGUUAUUACAAAUUAAAUAAAGAGCUGAAUAUUUAGGAGGAUUUAUAAUGUACGUUUCGAAAUAUGCACUUGGAAUGGAAGUAUAGCCAUAAGUUUUAGUGAUUUUCCUAAUGUGUUAAUAUAAAACGCAACUUUUUUUUCUGAUGCGCAUGGAAGAUGUCGACAAACAUGGUGUUGAGGUGAGGAUGGUGUUCUCUAUGUCAAAUGUAGGCUCAAAACUAGCUUGUGAUAUGUUUAUGUGAUAUGUAGAAAUAAAGAGUAAUAUUUGUAUCUUAUACAUACUCUUUUGGCUGUCGCCACAUUCAAAUUUGUAACUUACAUAGGAAAUGGAAUAUUAAUUUCAAUAUUGGGCAAUCGUAAUAUCAUUACGAUGUUUGUAGGUAUUUUUUAUUGGAAAAGGACUUACAAUGUUCCUGCGAAUGUAGUGCUCAAGUACCUUGAACUGAUCUUCGGGUAAAGAACCUUCCAGGCCAAAAUCCCCAAUUUUAGGUUGAAAUUUAUCGUCCGAAGAAUGUUGCUAGCUUUAAUAUCUCUAUGAACUAUUCUGAUGUGUGAGUUCGUGUAGAUACUGCCAUCCCGAGCAAUGCCAAGAAUUUUUGGAAGCGUGUUUUCCAGUCCAGGAACUGAUCACUUUUCCCCUUAUCAAAAAUACAAUUUAAAAGUUAUCUAGUCACCCAGAUCGUAUUUUUAUGAGUUCUAACCAAUAUGAGUAUGGACACUGUGUCCAACUUUUGAGGUAUUUCAUGCGCAAAUGCUGUCUUUCAUCAACUUA
rnacentral:lncRNA from 1 species